UAUUGGUUGCAUUUGCAGUGACGAUCCUGUUAUGGUGAGAUGUGGUUCAUUAUCUGCCACGGUGCGGGAUUGUAAGAGUGUUGUUUGUGUUUAUAAUGCUUGUGUUGACGCAAAUGUUAGUAUUUUUAAAAAUCUAAUUGAUUAUGUUGUUAUUUUAUUUAUUAUAUCAAUUUAAUGGAUUUUCUUGUGAGUUGUUAGUAUGUUGGGGUUGUAGCAGCAAUGUAUACAAAGUCAUGGAGGAAGAAAUUUGUUGGUAACGUGCGUGUUAUGAUUGACCCGAUUAUUGCUAGUGGUGUUUUGGGAGACGACACGGAGUUGCGGUGGACCUGCUGCAAUGAGUUGAAAGGGGUGCGUGCUGAAAGAAUUUUUGUGGUCUUUAUUCCAGUUCUAGAGGGAAGUCAUUGGUGGUGUCUUGCCGUAUCUGUGAAUACAGAGGAAAUAUGGGUGAUGGAUUCACAAUGCAAGAGACUGCUUGAGGCGCAUUGUGAAGCUAUUGACAAACUGGUAAUGGGAGGGGACAAUUUUUUUUGUUCAUUUGAUGUAAGUUGGAUAAGUGGUGAGCUAUGCAACUAGCCCAGAAAGGCUGUGAAUAUGGCCUCUUCUCAUCAAGGAAGCGGGAUUCAUAUGCUGCUUGCUAUAAAGGGAUGUGCAGCUCGUUUGAAGUUUGAUUGUUGCUUUAGUGGGAACAUAAAGGAGGAGAGUACUUGGCUGCUAACCGAAGAUGUAUUGUCCGAUGAGAACGAGGUGAAGGAGAGUGUUAAGGGAAUGCUUGACAGGGUUUGAAAGAAGGUGAAGGAAAGGUGAAUUUCGCUGCUAACAAUAUUUUGUGUAGUUUUGUAUAGGGCAAAUGGCCAUUAUAUGGCCCAUAGUUUUUUAUAUGGCCCAUAGCCCAUAGUUUUGUAUAGGGCAAAUGGCCAGCCAUAUGGGCAUUGUAUGGCCCAUAGCCCAUAGUUUUGUAUAUGUCCAGCCAUAUGGGCAUUUUAUGGCCCACAGUUUUUAUAAGGGCAUAGAAUGCUAAUUAUUGUUAAAUUGGAAAAGUAACAGAAGGUUGAAAUGAAGAUA